UGGGGAAUAUUGGACAAUGUGCGCAAGCCUGAUCCAGCCAUGCCGCGUGAGUGAUGAAGGCCCUAGGGUUGUAAAGCUCUUUCACCGGUGAAGAUAAUGACGGUAACCGGAGAAGAAGCCCCGGCUAACUUCGUGCCAGCAGCCGCGGUAAUACGAAGGGGGCUAGCGUUGUUCGGAUUUACUGGGCGUAAAGCGCACGUAGGCGGACUUUUAAGUCAGGGGUGAAAUCCCGGGGCUCAACCCCGGAACUGCCUUUGAUACUGGAAGUCUUGAGUAUGGUAGAGGUGAGUGGAAUUCCGAGUGUAGAGGUGAAAUUCGUAGAUAUUCGGAGGAACACCAGUGGCGAAGGCGGCUCACUGGACCAUUACUGACGCUGAGGUGCGAAAGCGUGGGGAGCAAACAGG
rnacentral:rRNA from 1 species